ACCCUCCAGAUUCUGUCCCUCUCCAACCUGAACGCUGAUCUGAGUGGUUAUAAAAGGAGGAACAAUAAAAUGGAUGUACAUUCUUUAUGACACACAGCUAGUUUCAAACAAAC
rnacentral:snoRNA from 1 species